GACGAACGCUGGCGGCGUGCUUAACACAUGCAAGUCGAACGGAAAGGCCCUGCUUUUGUGGGGUGCUCGAGUGGCGAACGGGUGAGUAACACGUGAGUAACCUGCCCUUGACUUUGGGAUAACUUCAGGAAACUGGGGCUAAUACCGGAUAGGAGCUCCUGCUGCAUGGUGGGGGUUGGAAAGUUUCGGCGGUUGGGGAUGGACUCGCGGCUUAUCAGCUUGUUGGUGGGGUAGUGGCUUACCAAGGCUUUGACGGGUAGCCGGCCUGAGAGGGUGACCGGCCACAUUGGGACUGAGAUACGGCCCAGACUCCUACGGGAGGCAGCAGUGGGGAAUAUUGCACAAUGGGCGGAAGCCUGAUGCAGCAACGCCGCGUGCGGGAUGACGGCCUCGGUUGUAACGACGUUCGUCCUCGUGACGAAGACGUGAGUGACGGUAAGUAGGGUAAAGGAAAAGA
rnacentral:rRNA from 1 species